UACAGAGGGUGCAGGCGUUGUUCGGAAUCACUGGGCGUAAAGCGCGCGCAGGCGGAUGGUUGCGUCCGGAGUGAAAUUUCGCCGCUCAACGGCGAAGCUGCUUUGGAUACGGACCGUCUAGGGACCGGUAGAGGCUGGUAGAAUUGCAGGUGUAGCGGUGGAAUGCGUAGAGAUCUGCAAGAAUACCCGUGGCGAAGGCGGCCAGCUGGGCCGGAUCCGACGCUGAGGCGCGAAAGCGUGGGGAGCAAACAGG
rnacentral:rRNA from 1 species